rnacentral:rRNA from 1 species
UACGUAGGGAGCAAGCGUUGUCCGGAAUCAUUGGGCGUAAAGCGCGCGUAGGCGGCCUUGUAAGUCCGUUGUGAAAGUCAAAGGCUCAACCUUUGAAAGCCGAUGGAUACUGCAAGGCUAGAGUCCGGAAGAGGCGAGUGGAAUUCCUGGUGUAGCGGUGGAAUGCGUUGAUAUCAUUAGGAACACCGGUGGCGAAAGCGGCUCACUGGGGCUCUGCUGACGCUGAGGCACGAAAGCUAGGGGAGCGAACGGG